UGCCUAUGUUAUCUGAAAAACAACCAAAGGGAGCGAAACACAAUCUCUUUGGGUCACCCUGGUUGCAUUGUCAUACGAGAAUUCUAAGCAUCAAUGGCACACCUUCUGUCGCUCCAUGUAUUUCUUUCUUCACAUACACGGGAAACUUCUUCCAAGCCGUCGAAACUUUCCAAGAGAACUAGCAAGUUUAACACAUCCAUUUCAACAGCUAAAAAAGUUCUUCUCAGUCCCUCUCACAAAACCCAGAAGCUGAAUUUGGAGGUUUCUCCUCAUAGAGCUGUAUCUGCUGUGAGGCUGAUGAGAAUCCAGUUUGGUGGUGCAUUUGCUGACCUUUUAAAUGAGAAAGGAAAGGGUUCCGGUGAUAAUGAGAUGGGAUAUGUGGAAAGAACUCUUGGUUUUCGUCCCCGUGAUUUAGAUGAUCGAGAUCUUAGAUUGGUUACAGAUAUCGUUGGCGGUACCAUUCGCUGGAGGAGAUAUCUUGAUCAUUUAAUUGGAUAAUUAUGCCAUGAUGAAAGUACGUUUAGAAACAUGGAACCACUUCUGUUACAGUUUCUCCGAAUUGGUUUCUACGAGAUUGUCAAGCUUAAUAUGCCACUAUAUGCUGUUGUAGAUGAGAAUGUAAAACUUGCAAAGGUUGCUCUUCGACCCGGUGCUGGUAGCCUGGUCAAUGGAUUCUCCGGAAGUUAGUUUCAGUUAAGGAAAAUAACUCCCUUCCUCUACCCAAAUUGGAAGGUGACGACCGUGCACAAGCACGCGCUCUUGCUACUCUUUAUUCUCAUCCUGUAGUAAGUCUGUGAAUCUGUGAUUGUAAAGCUCUACU